CAGAUUGAACGCUGGCGGCAUGCCUAACACAUGCAAGUCGAACGGCAGCACAGCAGUAGCAAUACUGUGGGUGGCGAGUGGCGGACGGGUGAGGAAUACAUCGGGACCUGCCCAGACGUGGGGGAUAACGUAGGGAAACUUACGCUAAUACCGCAUACGUCCUACGGGAGAAAGCGGGGGAUCUUCGGACCUCGCGCGGUUGGAUGGACCGAUGUUCGAUUAGCUAGUUGGUGGGGUAAAGGCCUACCAAGGCGACGAUCGAUAGCUGGUCUGAGAGGAUGAUCAGCCACACUGGGACUGAGACACGGCCCAGACUCCUACGGGAGGCAGCAGUGGGGAAUAUUGGACAAUGGGCGCAAGCCUGAUCCAGCAAUGCCGCGUGUGUGAAGAAGGCCUUCGGGUUGUAAAGCACUUUUAUCAGGAGCGAAAUACUAUCGGCUAAUACCCGGUGGGGCUGACGGUACCUGAGGAAUAAGCACCGGCUAACUUCGUGCCAGCAGCCGCGGUAAUACGAAGGGUGCAAGCGUUAAUCGGAAUUACUGGGCGUAAAGCGUGCGUAGGCGGUUUU
rnacentral:rRNA from 1 species